rnacentral:rRNA from 1 species
CCUACGGGGGGCAGCAGUGGGGAAUAUUGCGCAAUGGGCGAAAGCCUGACGCAGCGACGCCGCGUGAGGGAUGAAGGUCUUCGGAUCGUAAACCUCUGUCAGCAGGGAAGAACGGUCACUGUGCUAAUCAGCAGUGAAUUGACGGUACCUGCAAAGGAAGCACCGGCUAACUCCGUGCCAGCAGCCGCGGUAAUACGGAGGGUGCGAGCGUUAAUCGGAAUUACUGGGCGGAAAGCGCACGUAGGCGGUAUGUCAAGUCAAGGGGGAAAUCCCCGCGCUCACCGUGGGAACUGCCUUUGAAACUGGCAAACUGGAGUGUGUGAGAGGAUAGUGGAAUUCCAGGUGUAGGAGUGAAAUCCGUAGAUAUCUGGAGGAACAUCAGUGGCGAAGGCGACUAUCUGGCACAUAACUGACGCUGAGGAGCGAAAGCGUGGGUAGCAAACAGGAUUAGAUACCCUGGUAGUC